GUGCUAGCUUCGGCAGCACAUAUACUAAAACUGGAACGAUGCAGAGAAGAUAAGCAUGGCCCCUGCACAAGGAUGACACGCAAAUUUGUGAAGCAUUCCAUAUUUUU
ensembl:snRNA U6 U6 spliceosomal RNA